GCACAAGCGGUGGAGCAUGUGUUUAAUUGAAGCAACGCGAAGAACUUACCAGGGUCUUGACAUCCUCUGACAACCCUAGAGAUAGGGCUUUCCCCUUCGGGGGACAGAGUGACAGGUGGUGCAUGGUUGUCGUCAGCUCGUGUCGUGAGAUGUUGGGUUAAGUCCCGCAACGAGCGCAACCCUUGAUCUUAGUUGCCAGCAUUCAGUUGGGCACUCUAAGGUGACUGCCGGUGACAAACCGGAGGAAGGUGGGGAUGACGUCAAAUCAUCAUGCCCCUUAUGACCUGGGCUACACACGUGCUACAAUGGAUGGUACAAAGGGCUGCAAACCUGCGAAGGUAAGCGAAUCCCAUAAAGCCAUUCUCAGUUCGGAUUGCAGGCUGCAACUCGCCUGCAUGAAGCCGGAAUCGCUAGUAAUCGCGGAUCAGCAUGCCGCGGUGAAUACGUUCCCGGGCCUUGUACACACCGCCCGUCACACCACGAGAGUUUGUAACACCCGAAGUCGGUGUAGGUAACCUUCCAGGACCCAGCCGACUUUAAGGUGGUAC
rnacentral:rRNA from 2 species